rnacentral:tRNA from 1 species
CCUUCGAUAGCUCAGCUGGUAGAGCGGAGGACUGUAGUGGUUGUUACGCGUGGUGAUCCUUAGGUCGCUGGUUCGAUUCCGGCUCGAAGGA